CAGCAAAGCCACUGUAGCCAGACUGCCUCUCUAGAAAGGAACAGCCAACAAUCUUUCCUGUUCUGCAGCCUCCACUAGUGAUACCCAGACAGGGUCUGGAGUGGACCUCCAGCAAACUCCAGCAGACCUGCAGCAAAGGGGCCUGACUGUUAGAAGGAAAACUAACAGAAUGGAAUAGCAUCAACAUCAACAAAAAGAAUGCCCACACAAAAACCCCAUCCAAAGGUCACCAACAUCAAAGAA
rnacentral:lncRNA from 1 species